rnacentral:rRNA from 1 species
CACGUAGGGCGCGAGCGUUGUCCGGAUUUAUUGGGCGUAAAGAGCUCGUAGGCGGUUCGGUAAGUCGGAUGUGAAAUCUCCACGCUCAACGUGGAGGGGCCAUUCGAUACUGCCGUGACUCGAGUCCGGUAGGGGAGUGUGGAAUUCCCGGUGUAGCGGUGAAAUGCGCAGAGAUCGAGAGGAACACCCGUAGCGAAGGCGGCACUCUGGGCCGGUACUGACGCUGAGGAGCGAAAGCGUGGGGAGCGAACAGG